UGGGGAAUAUUGCACAAUGGGCGCAAGCCUGAUGCAGCCAUGCCGCGUGUGUGAAGAAGGCCUUCGGGUUGUAAAGUACUUUCAGCGGGGAGGAAGGGAGUAAAGUUAAUACCUUUGCUCAUUGACGUUACCCGCAGAAGAAGCACCGGCUAACUCCGUGCCAGCAGCCGCGGUAAUACGGAGGGUGCAAGUGUUAAUCGGAAUUACUGGGCGUAAAGCGCACGCAGGCGGUUUGUUAAGUCAGAUGUGAAAUCCCCGGGCUCAACCUGGGAACUGCAUCUGAUACUGGCAAGCUUGAGUCUCGUAGAGGGGGGUAGAAUUCCAGGUGUAGCGGUGAAAUGCGUAGAGAUCUGGAGGAAUACCGGUGGCGAAGGCGGCCCCCUGGACGAAGACUGACGCUCAGGUGCGAAAGCGUGGGGAGCAAACAGG
rnacentral:rRNA from 1 species